AAGGUUGGGGUUAUCGAAAUCAGACCAGAGCGCCAAAUUCAAGAAAUCUGCUCGAGCUCGGACGACAACCAUCGACGGCGGUAGUGGCGACUUUCUGGAAAUUGUCGAUGAAUUCACUGGGAUCCAUUCGGCCGGAGGAGGAGGAGAAAGCGAAAAAGGUCUCGGCUAUGGCAAUGAAAAUAAAGGCAGCCCUUGUGGAGCUGGAUUCUCGCAGAUUACUUUCUUUCCAAAUCACUUGAAAUUACCAAGACAGCUGCCUUCAUUUCUAAGAUACUGGGCUGGCAAUCAUCGAGAGGCCAAUGCAGCAGAGCUAGGAUCAGGCUGGGGGUGUUUCCAAAUUUGGUUACAAAUUCCCCCGCAGUUAACCCUUCCGUUUUAUUCAUGUGGAACGGGGGCUCCGAUAACCACGGCCUUUGUUUAAGGUCCUUAGGCUGGACCAAUUUCUCUUUUGUUCCGGUGAUAUAUCUUAUCCUCCUCUGUGGUCGAAAUUCUUCAGCCACCACCACUUGAGUUAAAGUAUUUCCGGAAGGAAUUUCGUAGAUUACUACUGCAGGAACCUUUUUACUAUAGAAAGUCGGAUGAACAACUAUUAUAUAAGGUCUGAGUCAUCCCAGCCCCCAAAUUCGAAUUGCCACCUGAUGAUGGGUUCAGUUGGAGGAAGUAGAUCAGAAGGAAAUUCUUGGAGCCAAGUAUCCAAGGAACUAUAGGCGCACUCAUUGAAAUGUCCAAGGUUGCUUGGCUAGAAAGCGCGUGCAAAGAUCCGAUGACGACUCCCGUAAAUUCGUGGAGUUGACGAUGCGAUGAGUAGAUACAAAGAUUGGAAGAGGGAGCACAGGGAUAUCGAAGGGGCGCCAUCGCAUCAUAUGGUAAUCAGAAUUUUGCAAUAUAAACUAGAGAGAGAGAGAGAGAGCCCAUAGGUUCAGCCGCCAUUCAGUCAAAACCCAUAGGCUGCGUUUGGUAGUCAGGAUAAAAUUCAGGAUAGGAUAUGAUUUAUCUUAUCCUAUGUUUGGUGCUCGCUCAGGACAAGAUAAAGUCGGAUA